rnacentral:rRNA from 1 species
AAGGAUCAUUAGUGAAUCUAGGACGUCCAACUUAACUUGGAGUCCGAACUCUCACUUUCUAACCCUGUGCAUCUGUUAAUUGGAAUAGUAGCUCUUCGGAGUGAACCGCCAUUCACUUAUAAAAACACAAAGUCUAUGAAUGUAUACAAAUUUAUAACAAAACAAAACUUUCAACAACGGAUCUCUUGGCUCUCGCAUCGAUGAAGAACGCAGCGAAAUGCGAUACGUAAUGUGAAUUGCAGAAUUCAGUGAAUCAUCGAAUCUUUGAACGCACCUUGCGCUCCUUGGUAUUCCGAGGAGCAUGCCUGUUUGAGUGUCAUGAAAUCUUCAACCCACCUCUUUCUUAGUGAAUCUGGUGGUGCUUGGUUUCUGAGCGCUGCUCUGCUUCGGCUUAGCUCGUUCGUAAUGCAUUAGCAUCCGCAACCGAACUUCGGAUUGACUUGGCGUAAUAGACUAUUCGCUGAGGAUUCUAGUUUUACUAGAGCCGAGUUGGGUUAAAGGAAGCUCCUAAUCCUAAAGUCUAUUUUUUGAUUAGAUCUCAAAUCAGGUAGGACUACCCG